rnacentral:rRNA from 2 species
UGGGGAAUCUUCCGCAAUGGGCGCAAGCCUGACGGAGCAACGCCGCGUGAGUGAAGAAGGUUUUCGGAUUGUAAAACUCUGUCCAAAGGGAAGAAACAAAUGACGGUACCUUUGGAGGAAGCCCCGGCUAACUACGUGCCAGCAGCCGCGGUAAAACGUAGGGGGCAAGCGUUGUCCGGAAUUACUGGGCGUAAAGGGCGUGUAGGCGGCCCUGCAAGUCAGACGUGAAACCUAUCGGCUCAACUGAUAGCUUGCGAUUGAAACUGCAGAGCUUGAGUGCAGAAGAGGGGAGUGGAAUUCCCAGUGUAGCGGUGAAAUGCGUAGAUAUUGGGAGGAACACCGGUGGCGAAAGCGGCUCCCUGGCCUGUAACUGACGCUGAGGCGCGAAAGCGUGGGUAGCAAACAGG